ACAUAAAUAACAUGAAUAUCCAAAACUAUACUUCUAUACAUACAUUAGAAUACAUUAACAUUCACAUAUUGCUACAUUAUGAUAUAUACAAACACAUACAAAUACACUUAUAGUCAAUGUGCGUGCGUUUGCGAGCAGUCAAAAACAACAAAGACUAAGAGACUGUUCGCUCAUUCGUUACAGAGUUUCAGAUUCACAGUUCACAUUUCUUUGCUUUUCAACGUCUUUUCUCCAUCAAUUCGAAGCUACCAGUUAUCAAGACUAUUGCCAUAAUUCCAGAGCUAGUUUGAAAAAAUUCUGCCUCAGUGAAUAGGGAAAAAACGCCUUCUUUGAGGUGAUGACUUAUGUUGCCUUUAGAAACGGUCAUGAAGAUUUAGAGCGUUCGAAGCCUUGAGAUGCUCGGAGGACUGAACCCACUGCCCUCUUCGUCCUCUCCGGCUUCCAGUCAGUGCGUCGCAGCUCAACGGCGGACGGUGGUGUUAUAAGGGCGCCCCAGCUCACACUGCUUUAGAAGAUAGAGGAUGAGAGGAGCUCGCUUAUGAAAUUCCGGUCUGGAUUUAGCAGCUUGCUCUGCACCAUAUGGGACCUCUUAAAACGUCCCCUUCUCAGCAGUACUGAAGAGGAUGAUGAAACGGUCUGUCUCAGAUGGCCUUAAAAACAGGCUCAAGGCUCACCAAAUGAUCAGUUCAGAGUUUUUCAGGUUAUGAGAGUGACAGACUCCAGCAGGGAGGAUAGUGUGGCCCAUUGGUGUAGAUGAUACUACUGGCAACACUCCUCCAGCAGCCUCUUUCUUGUCUGCUACAACCACGUUACUGUUCUCGUAAGCUGGAAAAUAUGGAAGAAGUCAUUACUUACGCUGGAAAAUAGAAAAUAUAUAUUAUGGAAGUAAGUUCCUGAGUUCCACCUGCCCCAUGGUAUCUUGCCUGCUGUUGUCCAUCGUCCUUCAUAGCUCAUAGCCCCCCCAAAAUUCCAGAGGCCUUGUAAUGCAUACAAUUAAAAAAUAUUUAUAAUA